rnacentral:tRNA from 1 species
UGGGAUGUAGCUCAAGUGGAAGAGCGCGCGCCUGUCACGCGCGAGGUUGACGGUUCAACUCCGAUCCUUCCCAGCAA